UGGGGAAUAUUGGACAAUGGGCGGAAGCCUGAUCCAGCCAUGCCGCGUGUGUGAAGAAGGCCUUUUGGUUGUAAAGCACUUUAAGCGAGGAGGAGGCUACUUGGAUUAAUACUCUAGGAUAGUGGACGUUACUCGCAGAAUAAGCACCGGCUAACUCUGUGCCAGCAGCCGCGGUAAUACAGAGGGUGCGAGCGUUAAUCGGAUUUACUGGGCGUAAAGCGUGCGUAGGCGGCUUCUUAAGUCGGAUGUGAAAUCCCUGAGCUUAACUUAGGAAUUGCAUUCGAUACUGGGAAGCUAGAGUAUGAGAGAGGAUGGUAGAAUUCCAGGUGUAGCGGUGAAAUGCGUAGAGAUCUGGAGGAAUACCGAUGGCGAAGGCAGCCAUCUGGCCUAAUACUGACGCUGAGGUACGAAAGCAUGGGGAGCAAACAGG
rnacentral:rRNA from 1 species